GGUGGGGCUACCCCCAGGAACUUCCCUUUAAUUUUAUUUGAUUAGCUUUAUUGUCCCAUACAAGAAUAUAUAUGGUUUAGGGGUGGGGAUGUUGACAUUUACAAGUUUUUAAACAAGAGGGGGUGGGGUGACCCCCUUGGGACUUCCCUCUUAUUUCAUUUCAUUUGUUUUAUUGUCCCCUACAAGAAUAUUAUAUGGUUUAGGCGUGGGGAUGUUGACCGUUUACAAGUUUUCAAACAAGAGGGGGUGGGGUAACACCCUCCGGACUUCCCUUUUAUUUCAUUUCAUUUGUUUUAUUGUUCCCUACAAGAAUAUAUAUGGUUUAGGGGUGGGGAUCUGGACCGUUUACAAGUUUUCAAAUAAGAGGGGGUGGGGUGACCCCUAGGGACUUCCAUUUAAUUUCAUUUCAUUUGUAUUAUUGUACCCUACAAGAAUAUAUAUGGUUUAGGGGUGGGGAUGUUGACCGAUUACAAGUUUUGAAACAGGAGGGGGUGGGGUGACCCCCUAGGGACUUCCCUUUAAUUUCAUUUCAUUUGUUUUAUUGUCCCCUACAAGAAUACAUAUGGUUUAGGGGUGGGUAUCUGGACCGUUUACAAGAUAAUAGCACAUUCUCAAAUUGAACGGGGUGGGGAUGACCCCCGGGGACCUCCCUUUAAUUUCAUUUGAUUUGUUUUAUCGUCCCAUUUAAGAAUAUCUAUGGUUUAGGGGCGGGGAUCUGGACCAUUUACAAGAUAUAAGCAUAUUCUCAAAUUGAAGGGGGUGGGGAUGAACUCCCAGGGACUCCCCCUAUAUUUCAUGUGAUUUGUUUAAUUGUCC
rnacentral:lncRNA from 1 species